UAUAUUCUCAGAACAAGACUUCCUCCCUAGUUACGUUACUGAUCGAAAGAACCCAAAUGAAACGGAAGUGGGCACACCUGACGCCCUAGGAAGGAAAAAUAAACUAAUAUGUACAGGACACGAAGAUCGUGGGUUAGAUAAUUUAGUAAACCUACAGACAAGCGGUGAGAACAUUCAAAAGACACCAAAUAAUCAAUUUGUCAACAUCCAAGAAAAUUAAGAUCCGAAUGAAAACCUUGCAGGUCCCUCGGAUUUACUAUAGGUAAAAAAAUGAGAGUCGGAAAUGACACCACCCGGAGGAUUUAAAGCAGGGCUGUCUG
rnacentral:lncRNA from 1 species